GGUAGGGGAAAGCCCCUAGCUUAGUGGUAGAGCAUCUGCUUUGGGCACAGAAGGUUCCAGGUUCAAUCCCCGGCCUCUCCA